rnacentral:rRNA from 1 species
GACGAACGCUGGCGGCGUGCUUAACACAUGCAAGUCGAACGGAAAGGCCCUGCUUUUGUGGGGUGCUCGAGUGGCGAACGGGUGAGUAACACGUGAGUAACCUGCCCUUGACUUUGGGAUAACUUCAGGAAACUGGGGCUAAUACCGGAUAGGAGCUCCUGCUGCAUGGUGGGGGUUGGAAAGUUUCGGCGGUUGGGGAUGGACUCGCGGCUUAUCAGCUUGUUGGUGGGGUAGUGGCUUACCAAGGCUUUGACGGGUAGCCGGCCUGAGAGGGUGACCGGCCACAUUGGGACUGAGAUACGGCCCAGACUCCUACGGGGGGCAGCAGUGGGGAAUAUUGCACAAUGGGCGGAAGCCUGAUGCAGCAACGCCGCGUGCGGGAUGACGGCCUUCGGGUUGUAAACCGCUUUCGCCUGUGACGAAGCGUGAGUGACGGUAAUGGGUAAAGAAGCACCGGCUAACUACGUGCCAGCAGCCGCGGUGAUACGUAGGGUGCGAGCGUUGUCCGGAUUUAUUGGGCGUAAAGGGCUCGUAGGUGGUUGAUCGCGUCGGAAGUGUAAUCUUGGGGCUUAACCCUGAGCGUGCUUUCGAUACGGGUUGACUUGAGGAAGGUAGGGGAGAAUGGAAUUCCUGGUGGAGCGGUGGAAUGCGCAGAUAUCAGGAGGAACACCAGUGGCGAAGGCGGUUCUCUGGGCCUUUCCUGACGCUGAGGAGCGAAAGCGUGGGGAGCGAACAGGCUUAGAUACCCUGGUAGUCCACGCUGUAAACGGUGGGUACUAGGUGUGGGGUCCAUUCCACGGGUUCCGUGCCGUAGCUAACGCUUUAAGUACCCCGCCUGGGGAGUACGGCCGCAAGGCUAAAACUCAAAGGAAUUGACGGGGCCCCGCACAAGCGGCGGAGCAUGCGGAUUAAUUCGAUGCAACGCGUAGAACCUUACCUGGGUUUGACAUGGAUCGGGAGUGCUCAGAGAUGGGUGUGCCUCUUUUGGGGUCGGUUCACAGGUGGUGCAUGCCUGUCGUCAGCUCGUGUCGUGAGAUGUUGGGUUAAGUCCCGCAACGAGCGCAACCCUUGUUCACUGUUGCCAGCACGUUAUGGUGGGGACUCAGUGGAGACCGCCGGGGUCAACUCGGAGGAAGGUGGGGAUGACGUCAAGUCAUCAUGCCCCUUAUGUCCAGGGCUUCACGCAUGCUACAAUGGCUGGUACAGAGAGUGGCGAGCCUGUGAGGGUGAGCGAAUCUCGGAAAGCCGGUCUCAGUUCGGAUUGGGGUCUGCAACUCGACCUCAUGAAGUCGGAGUCGCUAGUAAUCGCAGAUCAGCAACGCUGCGGUGAAAAAGUUCCCGGGGCU